rnacentral:rRNA from 1 species
AGCAUGAUUGAAGCUUGCUUCAAUUGAUGGCGACCGGCGCACGGGUGAGUAACGCGUAUGCAACCUGCCCGAUACCGGGGUAUAGCCCAUGGAAACGUGGAUUAACACCCCAUAGUACUUUUAUCCUGCAUGGGAUGUGAGUUAAAUGUUCAAGGUAUCGGGAUGGGGCAUGCGUCCUAUUAGUUAGUUGGCCGGGGGUAACAGCCCACCAAGACGAUGGAUAGGGGUUCUGAGAGGAAGGUCCCCACAUUGGAACUGAGACACGGUCCAAACUCC